rnacentral:rRNA from 1 species
UGGGGAAUUUUGGACAAUGGGGGAAACCCUGAUCCAGCCAUCCCGCGUGUGCGAUGAAGGCCUUCGGGUUGUAAAGCACUUUUGGCAGGAAAGAAACGUCAUGGGUUAAUACCCCGUGAAACUGACGGUACCUGCAGAAUAAGCACCGGCUAACUACGUGCCAGCAGCCGCGGUAAUACGUAGGGUGCAAGCGUUAAUCGGAAUUACUGGGCGUAAAGCGUGCGCAGGCGGUUCGGAAAGAAAGAUGUGAAAUCCCAGAGCUCAACUUUGGAACUGCAUUUUUAACUACCGGGCUAGAGUGUGUCAGAGGGAGGUGGAAUUCCGCGUGUAGCAGUGAAAUGCGUAGAUAUGCGGAGAAAAACCGAUGGGGAAGGCAGCCGCCUGGGAUAACACUGACGCUCAUGCACGAAAGCAUGGGGAGCAAACAGG